GGGCUGUUAGCUCAGUUGGUUUAGAGCAUCACGUCGACAACGUGAGGGUCGUUGGUUCGAAUCCGACACAGCCCA
rnacentral:tRNA from 1 species